UACAGAGGGGGCAAGCGUUGUUCGGAAUUACUGGGCGUAAAGGGCGCGUAGGCGGCCUUCUAAGUCGAACGUGAAAUCCCUGGGCUCAACCCAGGAACUGCGUCCGAUACUGAAAGGCUUGAAUCCGGGAGAGGGAUGCGGAAUUCCAGGUGUAGCGGUGAAAUGCGUAGAUAUCUGGAGGAACACCGGUGGCGAAGGCGGCAUCCUGGACCGGCAUUGACGCUGAAUAGCGAAAGCCAGGGGAGCAAGCGGG
rnacentral:rRNA from 1 species